rnacentral:rRNA from 1 species
UACGUAGGUGGCGAGCGUUGUCCGGAUUUACUGGGCGUAAAGAGCGCGCAGGCGGUCGUUCAAGUCGCGUGUGAAAGCCCCCGGCUCAACUGGGGAGGGUCACGCGAUACUGAUCGACUCGAAGGCAGGAGAGGGAAGUGGAAUUCCCGGUGUAGUGGUGAAAUGCGUAGAGAUCCGGAGGAACACCAGCGGCGAAGGCGGCGUCCUGGACUGGUACUGACGCUCAGGAGCGAAAGCGUGGGGAGCGAUCCGG